AGUAGUGUCAGCUGGUGGGAGGACGUCACUAACCAGACGUCACCAUGGGGCGAAGACCCAGGGGUAGUCUACAUCUCUCAACGCGACCCUCUCUUCGUCGUCGUCCCCAUGACAUGUCUGUACGCCGUGAUCCUGGUGAGUGGCGUGGUCGGGAACAUCAGCACCUGUGUCGUCAUCGCUCGCAACAAGCAUAUGCACACGGCCACCAACUACUACCUGUUCAGCCUGGCCAUCUCGGACCUAUUGCUGCUGCUGACUGGCCUACCUCAGGAGAUGUAUCAGAUUUGGUACAGGUACCCUUAUGUGUUCGGGGAGUUUUUCUGUCGGAUGACGUCGUUCGCCCAGGAGACGUCAGCGAACGCGACUGUCCUGACCAUCACAGCCUUCACGGUCGAGAGAUACGUCGCCAUCUGCCAUCCCUUCCUGUCAUACACCGUCAGCAAACUGUCCAGAGCCAUCAAGUUCAUCAUAGCCAUCUGGGUGCUGGCUUUGUGUCUCGCAGUACCUCAGGCAAUUCAGUUUGGAGUAGCCAGCAUGGGCAAAGUAAAUGGUACAGACGACCCAGAGAAAUUAAUUUGCACUCUCAAGUUUGAGUUCAUCAAGCAUGCUUUCCACAUCUCCACCGGUCUGUUCUUCGUGGUUCCGAUGACACUGAUCACAAUCCUGUAUAUCCUGAUUGGACUGAAUCUAAGACGAUCACGUAUGCUGAAGAGGCCGAGCAGCACAAACCAGCAGCAACAGUCAUAUGCGACGAGUCGUGGUCACAACCACGUUGUUCGCAUGUUAGUGGCGGUGGUGGUGGCGUUUUUCAUAUGCUGGGCGCCAUUCCAUUGUCAACGGUUGCUGGCUGUCUAUGCUAGCAGCACCACCAACCACGGUCCUAUGCUGGUCGCAGUCUACAACGCUCUUACCUAUGUGUCUGGGGUGCUUUACUUCCUCUCAACCUGUGUCAACCCCUUCCUAUACCAUACGAUGAGCAACAAGUUUCGCCAAGCGUUCAAGGCGACGCUGGCUCAGUUGUGUUCCCGUGGCAAAAGCAGCCGUCAAACUCGCAGCUACAGCAUCCUGUCGAGGGCAGGAGUUCCAGGAACACUAGUGGCUCGGUCCUCCAUGUCCUGCACGACCAAGGAGGCUGUAGUGAUGGUGGGCCGUGGUCCUCGCAGUGUCCAGCCAGCCUACAGGUCACCUGCCGUGCCACACGUCAUUGGCAAGAAGCUGAGGCUCAACAGUGAUACUAUCAGCAACUCUAGCCUGCAGGACGUGGACGACGGCGAGUACGUGGGGUACGAGCUAGCGCACUACAUGGGGGAGCUGAAUCGCCGGUGACGGUGACAUCAGCGGCGCUGCUACACCAUCUAGGCGCCGCCAAGUGCUGAAGGACAUCAGCAAUGCUGCUUCGUUCGUAGAUGACUGAGUGCUGAAUAAGGUCAGAAGCAGUAAAACAGUGCUGCUUCGGAGUGCAGAUGACUGAGUGCUGAAGGACAAUUAAGAUCAGCAAUGCUGCUUCCUUCGUAGAUGACUCUAAGUGCUGGAUUACGUUUAAGGUCAGCAGCAGAAAAGCAGUGCUACUUCAUGUGUAGAUGACUGAGUGCUGAAGGACGUUCAAAAGGUCAGCAUUGCUGCUUCAUUGGUAAAUGACUGAGUGAUGAAUUUCGUUUAAGAGCAGCAGUCAAGCAGUGCUUCAUGUUUAGGUGACUGAGUGAUGAAGAACAUUCAAGAUCAGCAGUGCUGAUUCGUUCGUAGAUGACUGAGUGCUGAUAGACGUUCAAGCAUUGUUGCUUCAUUGGUAGAUGACUGUGUGAUGAAUUACGUCUAGGUUCAGCAGCAUUUAAGCAGUGCUGCUUCAUGUUUAGGUGACUGAGUGAUGAAGAACAUUCAUGGUCAGCAGUGCCACUUUAUUUCUAGAUUACUGAGUUCUUAUGUACAUAAAAAAUGAGUUCACUUUUGGGAAAGCUGCUGUACCAUAAAGAUUCUUUCAAGCUGGUAGGCAAGCUGUGCUUGAUUUUUAUGUGAGUAAGAAUUUUUGUUGAAAAUGACAAUAUAGACUACCGGUACCGUAUUCAGAAAAGGGUAUUUGCAUUCAAGCAAAUUUUUGUUAGAUUAUUGAUUCUAUUCACCUUAAACUACAAUUUCCGUAAGUAUGUUUAUUGCAUAAGUAUACAAAUCAGUUCAGCUGCGUUCGAGACCAAAGUGUACAACUGACAGAUAAUUUUGGGAAUACAGUAUAAUCAGUUGGUAUAGGCAUAGAAUAUAACAUUAUUGUUAUAACGGUCUUUAUAGGAAAGAUUAGUUUUUGGUAUAACUUUUUCACUUAUGAACAUUUUAAGGUGAUUCCUUAUGGGAAAUUAAGACUUCCUGUCUUUGACAUCAAUAUUUAUGCAAGAUUAAAACAUAAUAGAGAAUUAUUUUAGGAAUAAUGAAACAUAAUGAACUUUGGUUAGAAAACAGAGAACAAGUUUGCUAAGGUAAUAAUGCAAGGCAAUUCUGUGGAUCGAAACAUAAGUAGGCCUAUUUAUUAAAUAUUUAAUUUAAACUUCUAUGUGACUAUUCCUUUUUGAUUGCAUAAAUAAUGUGCAUGUCAAUCUGAAUAGGAUCUGUUAUGAUGUUUGCAUUUAAAUGGAAGAUCUUUUAACCCUUCUUGACAAAUCAAGAACGGUUAAUAGCGG